GUUGAUGCAGAGUACCUCAAAGAGAUAGAGAAGACUCGUAGAGACCUUUGAGCUCUCAUCUCUUCCAGAAACUGUGCUCCCAUUAUGCUCCGUCUUGCAUGGCAUGAUGCAGGAACCUAUGAUGCCAAGAAGAAAACCGGAGGUCCCAAUGGAUCUAUCAGGUUCAAGAAAGAGCUAAACCGUCCACACAACAAAGGUUUGGAGAAGGCAGUCGCUUUUUGUGGAAGAAACAAAAAUGGAAUGAUUUGGUGAAUAAAUUUCGGGUAGAUAAUCACAAAGAAUGUAAGAUCCGAUUGUCUCCAAGUCGGGUCGAAAUAAAUGAUUUCCGGGUCAAAUUUUAACCCGAUUAGGGACCCCAAAAAGUGUUGCAAAAAUGUAUAGUAGAUUAUUCAGCCACUGUUCGUUUACUACAUAAAAUGUGAUACUAAUGCCUAUUAUGCA